GAUGAACGCUAGCGGCAGGCUUAAUACAUGCAAGUCAAGGGGGUAGCAAUACAACCGGCGCACGGGUGAGUAACGCGUACACAACAUACCAUAUACUGGAGUAUAGCUUUGGGAAACUGAAGGUAAUCCUCCAUAACAUUGCGAGAGGGCAUCUGAUUGCAAUUAAAGUUCCGGCGGUAUAUGAUUGGUGUGCGUUUGAUUAGCUAGUUGGUAGGGUAACGGCCUACCAAGGCGACGAUCAAUAGCUGGCGUGAGAGCGCGACCAGCCACACUGGAACUGAGACACGGUCCAGACUCCUACGGGAGGCAGCAGUAGGGAAUAUUGGACAAUGGGCGAAUGCCUGAUCCAGCCAUGCCGCGUGAUAGAUGAAGGCCCUCUGGGUUGUAAAUAUCUUUUAUCUGGGAAGAAACUCCUCUAUUCUUAGAGGCCUGACGGUACCAGAGGAAUAAGCACCGGCUAACUCCGUGCCAGCAGCCG
rnacentral:rRNA from 1 species